UUAACUUUAUACAUUAUAAAAUUAUCAAAUCAUAUUCUCUUUGUUACAUAAAAAUUGGAAACAAUAUGGCUACAAUUUUAAAAAUUGUUUAUGCAAUGAUUCUAUUUAUUUCGCUAUUUUUGGUUGCAAUGAAUGUUGAUGCAUAUGUUGAAUGUGAGACGGAUGCUGAUUGUCAACCAAAUAUGUGCAAGUGGCCUUUUAUUGUCCAAUGUUAUAAAAAUGUAUGCAUAUGUGUUCAUCAUACGAACCCAUAUCUUUGAGUACCAAAUCAUUUCUACACAAAACCUUCAAUGAAACAAUAAGUUCUUGCAUAAACAAAAUAUCUAUUUCGUACCCCUUCUAUGAUAGUAUUCCAUAAGUAGUCAUUUAAUUUUUUUUUAUGGUACGUAUCAAGGUUAUCAAAAUCGGACCGGUUGGACCGUGAACCAGACCUGUGUCCGGUCUGAUACAGCCAUAAAACCGUUCUGCAAUUGAACUGGGGUAUAAACCGUAUUACUUUUUUUAAGGAAAAUAAAAAAUAUUUCUAUUAAUUAAUACUAUUUCAUUGUUAGAUAAAUGUUAUUGAGUUUUUUUUUUA